ACUCAUCCGAGGCCCCGUAAUCGGAAUGAGCACACUUUAAAUCCUUUAACGAGUAUCCAUUGGAGGGCAAGUCUGGUGCCAGCAGCCGCGGUAAUUCCAGCUCCAAUAGCGUAUAUUAAAGUUGUUGCGGUUAAAAAGCUCGUAGUUGGACUUGUGUCCCACGCUGUCGGUUCACCGCCCGUCGGUGUCUAACUGGCAUGGUUCGUGGGACGUCCUGCCGGUGGUGGCGAGUCGAAGGAGCGCGCCCGUCGUGGUUCACGCCGCGAUCGAGGUUGCGGUCUGUAGACGGACCCCGAUGAAAUCCUACCGCGGUGCUCUUCACCGAGUGUCGAGGUGGGCCGGCACGUUUACUUUGAACAAAUUAGAGUGCUUAAAGCAGGCCUGUUGCGCCUGAAUACUGUGUGCAUGGAAUAAUGGAAUAGGACCUCGGUUCUAUUUUGUUGGUUUUCGGAACCCGAGGUAAUGAUUAAUAGGGACAGUCGGGGGCAUUCGUAUUGCGACGUUAGAGGUGAAAUUCUUGGAUCGUCGCAAGACGGACCGAAGCGAAAGCAUUUGCCAAGUAUGUUUUCAUUAAUCAAGAACGAAAGUUAGAGGUUCGAAGGCGAUCAGAUACCGCCCUAGUUCUAACCAUAAACGAUGCCAGCUAGCGAUCCGCCGAAGUUCCUCCGAUGACUCGGCGGGCAGCUCCCGGGAAACCAAAGCUUUUGGGUUCCGGGGGAAGUAUGGUUGCAAAGCUGAAACUUAAAGGAAUUGACGGAAGGGCACCACCAGGAGUGGAGCCUGCGGCUUAAUUUGACUCAACACGGGAAACCUCACCAGGCCCGGACAC
rnacentral:rRNA from 1 species